CCCAUUAACAUAAUCAAACUUCUGUUUUGUUUCUGACAAAAAAAAUAAAAUCCGGAAAGAGCUUUCGACGAAGCACCCAGAGCUGACGAACUGUCUCGAUGCUGCCUGCACCUUGACAGUUCCAAGACAAGAUACUCAUUGGGGAGGCAGCGGCUUCAAUACGGAAGCCACCUUAGACGAUGUGAUUUUUAGAGUUUUGUUUUCUAAAACCUGUGAUGAAAAAGCAGCCUUUCUCUUCGAAUUUGUUGACUGAUCUGCCUCCUGGCCAACAUCCCGAUCCACUCCAAUCAAUUGCAAGGACC
rnacentral:lncRNA from 1 species